CACCUGACCCACUGAGCACACACAAGGAGCAAAUCUAUGCCAGGCCUAGGCCACUUUCCAGAGACUUCUCCUUUGAUAAACGAUUGUCCUCUGAGAUCUCGCCGCUCCUGUGUCCUCAGGAACAAACGCAGAUCCAAGAGCAGCUUCCCAAGCCCAAAGCGAGCAAAAAGAAAAAUGCCAAACCGGGCUCUGGCCGCAGCCAGAAAAGCAAAACACAUCAAAAAGAUUCACAGGCUAUGGUUGAAUUGACUGAUGACACCAGCAGCAGCAGAGCCAUGGCGCAUGAGACUGGGCUUGGUAGGCAGGCUAGAGAGAGUCUGAGGUGGGAAGGAGUUCUACAAGACCCCCAAGAGGAGGCCGAGAGGCUGGAGCAGUACAGAGCCAACAGGCGGCAGCGUUACAUCGCACACAGAGAGGCUCUAUUAAAAAACACCCAGCAAGCCUCAAGAGAAGCUUUAAUUUAA
rnacentral:lncRNA from 1 species